rnacentral:lncRNA from 1 species
AUUGGCACAAGUGCUUGAGAUAAUCUCGCCGCAAGGAGUUUGGCAAUCACUUUGUAAAUAACAUUGCAGCAGGAGAUUGGACGAAAAUCUGAUGCAGAUGAAGUAUGGGCUGAUUUUGGAAUCAACGCAAUAAUAGAAUGAUUUAUUUGCUUAAGCAUGGCCCCCGACUGGAAAAAAUCCCGAACAGCUAGGCAGAAAUCUUCAUGAAUCACAGCCCAAGAUUUUUUGAAAAAGCAUGAAGAGUAGCCAUCGGGACCAGGAGCUUUUCCAUCAUCAAUGUCAAAUAAAGCAUUUUUAAUGUCCAAAUCAGAAACAGGGGCAAGAAGACAAGCAUGGGAAGCAGCGUCAAUGCGUGGACCUUGCUGGAUAACGUCCACUUCAAUAGGUGCAGUGACUUUCGGAGUGGCAAGCAAAUGGCAAUAAAAGUCUACAAAAGCAGCCCCCACCUCAGCAGAAGAGGACGUGAGAGAGCCAUCCAUUCGUUGAAUUGCAGGAAUAAAGUUUUGUCUAUGCUGCCGGCUCAUUAAUGAAUGGAAAAAGGAAGUGCCAGAGUCACAUUCCUUCAAGAAAUUACUUUUUAGCUUUUGAGAGAAAAAUUGCCGCUCACAUUCUUUAAUGUGGAGGAGACUUUGACGUAACUGCUUAUCAAUAGAUUGCAGAUUAGAAUUCUCCAUGUCAGAAGAGAGAAGACUUUGAUGCUCAUCCAGCGCAGCUUCAGCCCUUGCAACCCUCUCCGAGAUGUGGCUGAAAUGAUACUUGUUGAGAUCUCGCAAAGGUCUCUUAAGGUGCUUGAGACGUUUACAGAUAGUAAACAUUGGAGACCCGGGAAUGACAAGCUGCCAAGCCUCUGUUACCAGAUCCAAGAAGCGAGAGUGAUUACUCCACAUAUUGAAAAAUUUGAAACAUUUCUUACCCAUGGGCUGAUGUGGAUUGAAUGAGAUAGUGGCAGGAGAAUGAUCAGAGAAUGCUCCCGGAUUACCAAAGUGGACUUGCACUGAUGUAUUUGAAAGAGACCAGGGAGGAUUGGCAAGGACACGGUCAAGCUUGCUCCAAACACUGCCGUUGGACCAUGUGAAGUGGCUGCCAGAAUAAUUUAAGUCAGAAAGCCCUAAGUCUGAGCAACACUGCCGGAAGUCAGAUGUCUCAUAAGUAGAAACAAGUUCCCCACGGUGCUUGUCUGACUGAGAUAACAGAGAGUUAAAAUCCCCUAAAAUGAGCCAAGGGGAGUUAGGACUCCAGUUCCGCAAAUCAUCCCAGAGAGCCCUCCUGGCAAUAAUAGUAUUAAACCCGUAGACAAAAGAGGCAUAGAACUUGAACUGAUGAACUAAGCUGGAAAUAAGGACAUGAAGACCUUGAGCUGAGAAAUCAAGCAAAUCAAUAGUAACAGUUGUUGGAUUCCAGAAGACCACAAUUCUAGCUGUAGACGCUGCUGCAGCAUUAGACAAAACCUUCCAGUUGUUCAACCGAAAUUGAUGCAUAGAUGAAACUUUAGAAGAAACUAAUUUAGUUUCUAAAAAACAACAAACAUCCAAUUGAUGUUUCCGCAUGAGGUUUACAACCUCAUGUUGUUUUAGAGGGCUGUUCAACCCUCUGACGUUCCAACAACGAAUGAUCAUCAAGAAUGGGUAGUGGGAAGCAACCCCUCGACCCUGUCUGAAACACUACCAGUACGUGGCUGAGCCCCUCGUCUCCGUAAGGGCGCUCUAGAAACCCCAGCUGAUGGAGGACCAGGAUCAAUUAACACAGCAACAGCCUUGCCUUUGUCUUUCCGCGAGCCACCCAAAACAUUGGUAUUUGGCGCUGGAUGAGUUGGCAAAUGGUGGUCCCUAGAGGCAGCAGAGGCAUGCACAGGAGCAUGCAAAGGACCAUGCACAGGAGAUGAUUCAUGAACCGAGCCUUUGUCUUUUCGUGAGCCAGUCAAAGCAUUUGUAUUUGGCGCUGGAUGAGUUGGCAAAUGGUGGUCCCGAGAGGCAGCAGAGGCAUGCACAGGAGCAUGCACAGGGGACAAUUCAUGAACCGAGCAGUGAUCAACAAUGGAUGGACUACCACGAUGCUUGGAAGGAGAAUUUUUGCGCCUGAGUCGUUUGCUUUGCACAAUAUUCCAUCCACCAGAAACAUGAUCAACAGCCCCACUUACAGCCACAUGCUCAUGAUCAACAGCCCCACUUACAGCCACAUGCUCCGGUUCGGCCAGAAGAGGAGUAGAAUUAAGAGGCAGAUUGCCCACAGGGCUAACAACAACAGGAGGGGCUGCGUGAGGUCCCAAACGGUCAAAGACAGAUUCUUUAACUGUGCUGGCACUCGGAGUAGGAGUAGGGGCUGAGACUUUUGCUGCCUGUUUGGUAGGAUCAGUCAAUGGAACUGAUUUGGGGCAAGAGGAAGUAAGAUGGCCGAGAGUUCUGCACUGCUUGCAAAACCGGGGGAGAGUUUCAUAGAUGACUUGCUGCUUGAGAAGGCUGCCAUUCGGUAAAGUGAUAUCAAUAGAGUAAGGCAAAUCAGA